CUCUUUAAGCUCUUUAUUGUAAUGGUUGGAAUACCCACAAAACUCUUCUUAAUAUAAUAUUCAUUUGCUUAUUCCAAAAAAAACAAACGAUGGUGGAAAAUUAGUAUCAAUAUCAUGGUAAGAAAAACUUUGCUUUAAUUGUUCUAUAUUCCUAGUCAUCUUUUUAGUGUAUAUACUAGAUAAUGUAAAAUAACUUUUCUAUUAUGUUUUAUAUUUCAUAAUUCAUAUGCUAAUCCAUUAUCCAUCUAUCAUGAUAUAUAUGUUGCCUGAAGUGGUUGACCUCUUUCAAUUUUUUUUACUAAAACAAAUGAUUUUGAUUCAUUCAAAUUGGUAAAGUACAUCAGAUUCAAGUACAAAUUUAAUAUCGCUAAAAACGAAAAUGAUGAAUCUGCGAACAAACUCACAUCAUCCAAGUUAAUAGCAUAAAACGACAUACUCAUGCCUACAAAUAAUGUGAUAAAAUUAAAGUAAUCGGAAUACCUAUGUUUCCGGAUCUGCAUCUUGGAGAACUUAAUCACCGUGUAAAUCAGUAAUUGACCGAGGUUGAUCUGUCAAUUCAAUCAAACGAACACUACAACAAACGGGAAUACAAACACCGCACAAAGACGGGACGACGAAAUAAAAUAAAAUAAAAAACACAAAAAAAAAAUUUAAUCUAUGUGAAAACCACUUAUAUAGAUUAAAGCAAAUAGAAAAAUAUGCAAAGAGGUGAUUUUGGAUCGAAAAAGACUCAAAAUCACCCCAUUUUUUAUGAAAGGACGAGAAGAAAACUUAAAAAAAAAAGAGGAGCUUAUCUCUCUAGGGCGGCUUAGUGAUAGAUGAAGGAGAUAUAUGUUAGAAUUAUGUGGGUUGACCUCUUACAUUGUCUACCACAAAACUAAUUACUAUGUCUCUUGAAUAUAUGUAAAUAUCCAAACAAUUAAAGACCCACACAUUCCACUAGUUUACAAUAUUCCUACUGCACUAGGGAUGCAAAUGAUUGAGCUAUCAUGUCGUCUUUCUUUUAUUGGCUUAACAAUUAUACUAAAAUAUAUUUUGUUAGUACUGUAGCAUAGAUUAUUUUUAGUUUAUAGCAACAAUUUAGUGAAUAUUGAAUAUUAUUUGUGGAUUGAUUUUUCUGUAUUCAUAUUCACUACUACAAAAAAGAGUUUUAAUAGCGCCCAUUUAAUAGCGCUUUUUUGAAAAUGCUAUUAAAAGAUUAAACGGAGCCCUUAUUAUAGCGCCUUUCUAAAAAGCGCUGUUAAAGCCUUGACCCAAAGUACAUAUAAUAGCGUUUUGUUAGAAACCGAUAUUAAAGACAUAAACGCGCAGCUUUAUAUUAGCGCUUUUGAAAAAGUGCUGUUAAAGCUAAUACCCUAUAAUAGCGCGUUUUACAUAACCGCUAUUGUAAAAUGAAAUUAAUAAAUAAAAAUUGUGGUGGGUGGGUGUCGAACCCUGGUCCUUGGUUCCUAAAUCAUCAUAUAAUAAAAAACACAUAAAAAAAAAUAAAUAAGCAGGGAAAAAUUUAUCACUAAUUUAUCACCACGAUCUUCAAUCCACUUCAAGGAAAAAUUGAAUUCAAACCCUAGAAAAAAAAAUCAAUGUUCUUCUAACUUCUUCAAACCAUUCCUAGCAAACAUUGAACUCAAACCCUAAGAUUCAAAAUCGAUCGUCUUGUGGCUUCAAACCCAAAGGAAUCUCGGUCCUCUGUAAUCAAACUCAGAGCAAACGGAACUCAAAGAGGUUGAUUCCCAGAUAAAUUGAAGUUAGAGCAAUCGGAACUCAGAUAAGUUGUUUCCCAGAUUAAUCGUUCAACUCGUCUUCUCCAAUCACACUCGGCAAUUCUAAUAUCCAAGAACCCAUAAACCACUUUGAACCCUAACCCAUAACCCAAAAAUCAUCUUCUCUCCAAGAACCUUAAUCCAAUAACCCACGAAUUUAACCGUCACCAUGCUUUCACAACUCAAACUGCCGUCAUUAAGGGGUCAUUGAGAAACUGUAAGCCACUAGACAACAUGACAUAUAUUGAUCCAACUGUGUAUGCGAGCUAUUACUGAGUAUGCAUAGCAGUGGAGUCACUCUCUGAUUCACUCAAACGGGUUUGGGUCCAAAGGAAGAAGAACACAGUAGCUUUUUCCACAAAACCAAAGCAAGUUGCAGAGUCUAGUGGAUUUAAUAAUGUGGAAAGAUGUUUCAAGAUCAGCAUUUGUGUUUAGUAUUGGAACAUUCAUUAUAAUCUCAUUUUCUUAUGCAAGGGAUAUAUCAAUUUGAGGUUAGAAAUCUACACUAAAGAGUUUAUCUUUUACUGCUCCAGAACUGAAGUUUUUCUGCAGUUGGCAGUUUUGGCUAGAUGUGGCAGUUUCAUAACAAUUUGGAAGAUGGCUAAAUUCGGAUUUUGCAUUUCUGCACUGCUGGGAGAUAACAUCUACAACUACCUUGUUCAAAAAAACAUCUACAACUACAACUUUCGAGAGCUACUUGCCCAUCCUAUUAUUGAAAAUGGAAUAAAUCUCUAUUCAGCAACAAUUCUUAUAUGCCCAGUCUCUGUCGAAGGUGCUUCAUUUGAAUCAAUAAGUUAUAUAAAUGAUGCAGCACAAACCUUAAGGUAUCCAAGUGGAGUGUAGGUGAGAAUUAAUAUGAAUGUCAAAAUGGAAGAGCUCAACUACAGGUUAGUUUGUGCGAGACCGCGACCGUCGUUGUUCCAUCUCGUCGAACCUCCAUCUCCAUCCUUAUCAAUUAAGGGACUACAUGAAAACAUCAGAGGUGUUGGCUUGGUUUGGGAAAUGGUAGAGGAAUGCUUAGGUUAAUUUUAAUUUGGUUGCUUUGGUGUUCUGAACUCAUCAGCUAGUUGCAAGAAAUGGUCUGUUGGGAGGUUAUUAUUCACGUUGUAGUAAACCAAUUUUGUUGUCUUGUGCUGGUUGUUAUCUUAUUAAGGUUGAGAAUCAUAUAUAGGAAGGACCUUUGUAUUAGCAUAUUAGCAUAAUUGAGUUUCUUUUGAUGGUGAUAGUUAUGUACUCAGCUUGAAUAUUAUAUCAGUCCAAAUGUAUAUU